rnacentral:rRNA from 1 species
AUGGCUAGCCCUUUCCCCCCUCCUUUGUCUCCUAACUUUGAGGUUCUUCACUUCAAACAGAGACAAGGAGAAAAUUUAAAAUAUGCUUGCUACAGGAUGAUAGAAUCAUAUUGUAAUUUCACUAUAGAGGGGGAUUUUGAGAUUUUGCUUCAUAAUUUUUAUGCUGGGCUAAACAUGUCCGAUAGGCAACUCUUGGAUUUCGCGGCUAAGGGGAAUUUUAUUGAAAUUGAUCCCAACAUUGCAUACGAUAUUAUAGAGGGAGUAGUAGGAAUACUACCCCCACAAAAGGGAUUACAUCACACUCAAGAAGGAACACAAGUUUUUCAGAAACUAUGUGAAGUAACGAAAAUUUUGCAAAAAUCUCUUGAACCCCUCAAAAAUGUUAGUGGAAACCUUCACCACAUGAAUAUGUUGAUCACUCUUUGCAAUAAGCGCUUGGAUGCUCUAGAUCUUAAGAUUUCCGGAUUUGAGCGGAAAUGCAAAGAACCUCCCGAUUCGAGCAUAAUUCCAUUAAAAUGA